GGGGGCGCAACGGCUUCGACGGGUUAGUAUUCGUUUGAAAAGGCGUGUCGGGUUCCGAGCUCCCGUAAAACGAUCGGAAAACCAAAACUGCCAACACGCAGUUUGCUUACGCUGCCUAAUUAUUAGGUAGCCGUCCCUGGCGGCGAGCCCGUUCGUCGUCAACGGAUGUCAUUCAUACGGGAUAGGCCGAGAGCUUCUGUCCGGAGCAGCAGGCCGAGAUCAAUCGGGCUAGGCGGCUGGUGAUUUUGCCGAUUCCGAACCAGUUGCCGAAGUUCCAGAAUCAGGCUACACACGUAGGCUUUUCAGGCUGAGCUUUCUCGGACGCGGGUUCAACUCCCGCCGCCUCCACCA
rnacentral:tmRNA from 1 species